UACGGAGGGUGCAAGCGUUAUCCGGAUUUAUUGGGUUUAAAGGGUCCGUAGGCGGACUCGUAAGUCAGUGGUGAAAUCUCACAGCUUAACUGUGAAACUGCCAUUGAUACUGCGGGUCUUGAGUGUUGUUGAAGUAGCUGGAAUAAGUAGUGUAGCGGUGAAAUGCAUAGAUAUUACUUAGAACACCAAUUGCGAAGGCAGGUUACUAAGCAACAACUGACGCUGAUGGACGAAAGCGUGGGGAGCGAACAGG
rnacentral:rRNA from 1 species